GUGGACGUAGCUCAAUAGGUAGAGCACUGGACUGUGGAUCCUGUGGUUGCGGGUUCGAUCCCCGUCGUCCACC
rnacentral:tRNA from 2 species